UACGUAGGGGGCAAGCGUUGUCCGGAAUCAUUGGGCGUAAAGAGCGUGUAGGCGGCCAACUAAGUCGGACGUGAAAUCCCCAGGCUCAACCUGGGAACUGCGUCCGAUACUGGAUGGCUUGAAUCCGGGAGAGGGAUGCAGAAUUCCAGGUGUAGCGGUGAAAUGCGUAGAUAUCUGGAGGAAUACCGGUGGCGAAGGCGGCAUCCUGGACCGGCAUUGACGCUGAGGAGCGAAAGCCAGGGGAGCAAACGGG
rnacentral:rRNA from 1 species